rnacentral:lncRNA from 1 species
UUCGACGGUCGAAGUUUUCCCAAUGCUGCCGACUGAGUACAACGAUCUUCGGAACGUCCUUCCAAAAAGUAUCCAAUGGUCCGAUAGUAUUCAGAUGAAUAACUACAAAAGUCGGAAGACAAGGAGUUUAAACUGACAUAAAAAAAAAUCAAUCAGUCGCUUGACAUCAGCUAAACUACCGAUACGACAGUUCCAUAGGAUGUGGAAGCGGUCGUCCGGCGACUCUUCAAAGGCAGCACUGUUAGCUUUAACAUAAAAGUAGUAACACUGCCAGAGUUUCGUCUUUGAAGGAUGGCCGGUCAGGAUACUUAACCCCGAACGCAUCUGCACAUAAAAGUAGUAACACUGCCAGAGUUUCGUACACACCGCCGGGUCUCAGUUGGAUCUGUGUCAACUCUUCGAAGAUUCGAACAAACAUCGAUAUGUUUAUCUCCGCUGCCA